rnacentral:rRNA from 1 species
ACUGUAGGCUGCAACUCGCCUACACGAAGUCGGAAUCGCUAGUAAUCGCGGAUCAGCAUGCCGCGGUGAAUACGUUCCCGGGCCUUGUACACACCGCCCGUCACACCAUGGGGGUUUGUAACGCCCAAAGUCGGUGGCCUAACCUUUAUGGAGGGAGCCGCCUAAGGCGGGACAGAUGACUGGGGUGAAGUCGUAACAAGGUACC